CCUACGGGAGGCAGCAGUGGGGAAUAUUGGACAAUGGGCGAAAGCCUGAUCCAGCAAUGCCGCGUGAGUGAUGAAGGCCUUCGGGUCGUAAAGCUCUUUUACCAGGGAUGAUAAUGACAGUACCUGGAGAAUAAGCUCCGGCUAACUCCGUGCCAGCAGCCGCGGUAAUACGGAGGGAGCUAGCGUUGUUCGGAAUUACUGGGCGUAAAGAGUACGUAGGCGGUUAUUCAAGUCAGAGGUGAAAGCCCGGGGCUCAACCCCGGAACUGCCUUUGAAACUAGAUAACUAGAGUCUUGGAGAGGUUAGUGGAAUUCCGAGUGUAGAGGUGAAAUUCGUAGAUAUUCGGAAGAACACCAGUGGCGAAGGCGACUAACUGGACAAGUACUGACGCUGAGGUACGAAAGCGUGGGGAGCAAACAGGAUUAGAUACCCUGGUAGUCCACGCCGUAAACGAUGAUAACUAGUUGUUCGGUCACUUGGUGACUGAGUGACGCAGCUAACGCAUUAAGUUAUCCGCCUGGGGAUACGGUCGCAAGNUUAAAACNAAUNAUAGAGNAGANGCGAGCGACACGAGGAGAG
rnacentral:rRNA from 1 species